ACGGCCGGAUCGCAGCACUAAUGCACCGGAUCCCAUCAGAACUCCGCAGUUAAACGUGCUUGGGCGAGAGUAGUACUAGCAGGGUCCCGGGGCAAGGACCGCACGAUCUAAAGAUCCGGCGGUCGGCGUAGCGAUUCCAUUGCUACUAUAAGG
rnacentral:rRNA from 1 species